AAGGGCAUAACCUAAAAAAAAAGAUUGGCAGACUCACAAACCCUAUCAUGGAUUGAACCAUAUCUAACAAGAUUCGAUUCCUCCUCCCAAGAGAUGUCUAUUAUGAAAGAAUCUCAUUCUCUUCUAGAUAUAUCAAAAACUCAUUGAAAAAGUAUUCAUCUCCUCAAUCAGAUUGAAGAGUUCUAAUACUCUUCCCAGUUUGUUUCUUUAUUUC
rnacentral:lncRNA from 1 species